rnacentral:tRNA from 1 species
UAUAUUUUAAUGUACGAUGCAUAUAAAUUUUUGAAAUUUAAAGGUUAGUUUAAUUCUAAAAAUAUAA